GACGAACGCUGGCGGCGUGCCUAAUACAUGCAAGUAGAACGCUGAAGGAGGAGCUUGCUUCUCUGGAUGAGUUGCGAACGGGUGAGUAACGCGUAGGUAACCUGCCUGGUAGCGGGGGAUAACUAUUGGAAACGAUAGCUAAUACCGCAUAAGAGUAGAUGUUGCAUGACAUUUGCUUGAAAGGUGCAAUUGCAUCACUACCAGAUGGACCUGCGUUGUAUUAGCUAGUUGGUGAGGUAACGGCUCACCAAGGCGACGAUACAUAGCCGACCUGAGAGGGUGAUCGGCCACACUGGGACUGAGACACGGCCCAGACUCCUACGGGAGGCAGCAGUAGGGAAUCUUCGGCAAUGGACGGAAGUCUGACCGAGCAACGCCGCGUGAGUGAAGAAGGUUUUCGGAUCGUAAAG
rnacentral:rRNA from 1 species